AGAGUUUGAUCCUGGCUCAGAUUGAACGCUGGCGGCAUGCCUUACACAUGCAAGUCGAACGGCAGCACGGGGGCAACCCUGGUGGCGAGUGGCGAACGGGUGAGUAACACAUCGGAACGUACCCAGUUGUGGGGGAUAACCCAUCGAAAGGUGGGCUAAUACCGCAUGAUCUGGAGACAGCAAAGCGGGGGAUCGGAAACGACCUCGCGCGAUUGGAGCGGCCGAUGUCCGAUUAGCUAGUUAGUGGGGUAAAGGCCUACCAAGGCUUCGAUCGGUAGCUGGUCUGAGAGGAUGAUCAGCCACACUGGGACUGAGACACGGCCCAGACUCCUACGGGAGGCAGCAGUGGGGAAUUUUGGACAAUGGGGGCAACCCCGAUCCAGCCAUGCCGCGUGAGUGAAGAAGGCCUUCGGGUUGUAAAGCUCUUUCGGUAGGAACGAAACGGUUACGACUAAUACUCGUGACUAAUGACGGUACUUACAGAAGAAGCACCGGCUAACUACGUGCCAGCAGCCGCGGUAAUACGUAGGGUGCGAGCGUUAAUCGGAAUUACUGGGCGUAAAGCGUGCGCAGGCGGUUAUUUAAGUCAGGUGUGAAAGCCCUGGGCUUAACCUAGGAAUUGCGCUUGAGACUGGAUAGCUUGGAGUGUGGCAGAGGGAGGUGGAAUUCCACGUGUAGCAGUGAAAUGCGUAGAGAUGUGGAGGAACACCGAUGGCGAAGGCAGCCUCCUGGGCCAGCACUGACGCUCAUGCACGAAAGCGUGGGGAGCAAACAGGAUUAGAUACCCUGGUAGUCCACGCCCUAAACGAUGUCGACUGGUUGUUGGUGGGGUUAAACCCAUUAGUAACGAAGCUAACGCGUGAAGUCGACCGCCUGGGGAGUACGGCCGCAAGGUUAAAACUCAAAGGAAUUGACGACCCGCACAAGCGGUGGAUGAUGUGGAUUAAUUCGAUGCAACGCGAAGAACCUUACCUACCCUUGACAUGUACGGAAGCCUGCUGAGAGGUGGGCGUGCCCGAAAGGGAGCCGUAACACAGGUGCUGCAUGGCUGUCGUCAGCUCGUGUCGUGAGAUGUUGGGUUAAGUCCCGCAACGAGCGCAACCCUUGUCACUAGUUGCUACGCAAGGGCACUCUAGUGAGACUGCCGGUGACAAACCGGAGGAAGGUGGGGAUGACGUCAAGUCCUCAUGGCCCUUAUGGGUAGGGCUUCACACGUCAUACAAUGGCGCAUACAGAGGGCUGCCAACCCGCGAGGGGGAGCCAAUCCCAGAAAGUGCGUCGUAGUCCGGAUUGCAGUCUGCAACUCGACUGCAUGAAGUCGGAAUCGCUAGUAAUCGCGGAUCAGCAAUGUCGCGGUGAAUACGAUCCCGGGUCUUGUACACACCGCCCGUCACACCAUGGGAGUGGGUUUCACCAUAAGCCGGUUGCCUAACCGCAAGGGGGGCGCUGACCACGGUGAGAUUCAUGACUGGGGUGAAGUCGUAACAAGGUA
rnacentral:rRNA from 1 species